rnacentral:rRNA from 1 species
GACGAACGCUGGCGGCGUGCUUAACACAUGCAAGUCGAACGGAAAGGCCCUGCUUGCAGGGUACUCGAGUGGCGAACGGGUGAGUAACACGUGGGUGAUCUGCCCUGCACUUCGGGAUAAGCCUGGGAAACUGGGUCUAAUACCGGAUAGGAGCCAUUUUUAGUGUGAUGGUUGGAAAGUUUUUUCGGUGUAGGAUGAGCUCGCGGCCUAUCAGCUUGUUGGUGGGGUAAUGGCCUACCAAGGCGGCGACGGGUAGCCGGCCUGAGGGGGUGGACGGCCACAUUGGGACUGAGAUACGGCCCAGGCUCCUACGGGAGGCAGCAGUGGGGAAUAUUGCACAAUGGGCGCAAGCCUGAUGCAGCGACGCCGCGUGGGGGAUGACGGCCUUCGGGUUGUAAACUCCUUUCGCUAGGGACGAAGCUUUUUGUGACGGUACCUAGAUAAGAAGCACCGGCUAACUACGUG